rnacentral:lncRNA from 1 species
AUGGAGGCGCUGAACGGCCCCGCACCGGGGCCCGGCGAAGCGCUGCGGCCGCCGCCGCCCUCGCCCGGCCACCACCACCCGCACGCCGAGAAGAAGCGGCCGCACCGCGCCCCGUCGCCCGCCAGACCCUUCCUCAAGGACCUGCACGCCCGCGCCGCCGCCAAGCCGCCGCCCGCGCCCCCCAAGUCCCCCGGCCUCCCCGCCCGGGCGCCCUCGUCGCCGCACCCGGGCGCGCACCAGCCCUCGGCGGGGCUGCUGUCGGCGCCGGGCCGCCUCUCCCGCCGCCCCGCCGCCCCGGGGGGCAAGGCGGCCGCCGUCCCCGUCACGGCCGUCGGCAGGGCGGGUGCCAAGGCCGCCCCCUGCGCCAAGCGGGCGGCCCGCGGUCCGGAGCCGGGGCCCGGCGGCCGGGGCGCGGGGCGGCAGCCCGGCGGGGAGGCGGCCCCGCCGCCCCGCCGCCCCGGGGGGCAAGGCGGCCGCCGUCCCCGUCACGGCCGUCGGCAGGGCGGGUGCCAAGGCCGCCCCCUGCGCCAAGCGGGCGGCCCGCGGUCCGGAGCCGGGGCCCGGCGGCCGGGGCGCGGGGCGGCAGCCCGGCGGGGAGGCGGCCCCGCCGCCCGGCAAGGGCAGGAAGGCGAAGCGGGGAGCGGCGGCGGGCAGCGGCCAUGCGGCGGCGGCGCUGGCCCGCGUUGGCCACACGGACAGCAGCUCCGACCUCUCCGACUGCCCCUCCGAGCCGCUCUCCGACGAGCAGCGCCUGGCCCCGGCCGCCAGCAGCGACGCCGAGUCCGGCACCGGCUCCAGCGACCGGGAGCGGGAGCAGCCCGCCGCUCAUCCCGCCGCCCAUCCCGCCGCCGAGCAGCCCCGCACCGGCCCCGGCCCCGGGCGCGGAGCUCCGGCGGCCCUCAGCUCCCGCGGGGAUGCGCUCCCUGCGGCCACGGGCGGGGCGAGAGCCCCGAGCCGCGGGGAGCCGCCGCCGGCAGCCCCGGAGGAGCUGCAGCGGGAGGUGGAGGAGCUGCGCUCGGAGAACGAGUACCUCAAGGUGAGCAUCGCCCGCGGCAGGGAUGGGAAGGGCAGGAGGCGGCAGCGGUGGAAACGCGGCCCCCUCCUGCCCGGGAAUGCGGGGACCGCGCUGGAAGGGGGGAAGGAUAUUCGCGCUGCCUGGAGUCACCUCCCAUGGGACCCCUGCCCCCGCUGGACCAAAUGCCGAAUUUUACCCGCAGGAGGGAAAUAGGGGCAGGCAGAACCAGCCGGGACCCUCGGCACCCUCCUCCCCCGCCCCCCCGAAGCGGGAGCGCGGCGCGGCUUGAGGACAGCUAA